UCUAUAGCUCAGUUGGUAGAGUGCUACCUUGGUAAGGUAGAGGUCACGGGUUCAAUUCCCGUUGG
rnacentral:tRNA from 1 species